CUUCCUUUCUGAUUAUCCCCUUUCCUUCCUUCAUGUCCGUCGUCGUUCAUUGUCUUCUCCAUUGUUUCUUCUUCUUCAUCUAAAGAAAGAUCAAUAUAUUCAGGUUAGCAAGGGAUAUGAGCCAUUUGGCUGGCGUUCCUGUUUUGCUUUUCAAUCCACACAACCCAAUCAUGCAUUGAUUUUGGAGCUAGUGGGUGAUCGUGAGGUUGGUUGCUAUCACUGCUUCCCGGAGACCCAAUGUAGUCCUAUAGGCGUCCGCAGGCCCUGGCGUCCCCUUCUAUCCUAUUUUAUUUCUGUUUCAUCUACAUCCGAGACAGAUAUAUUGAAAAUAGUGGUUGAUCGUGAGGUUGGUUGCUAUCACUGCUUCCCGGAGACCUAAGGUAGUCCUGCAGGCGUCCGCAGGCCCUGACAUCCCCUUCUAUCCUAUUUCAUUUCUAUUUUAUCUACUUCCGAGACAGAUGUAAACUUUUCGUUCAGACUAUUAUUUGUAGUAUUCGUAGACUAUUCGUGAGUUGUAACACCAAUUCUGGGUGGAAUUUAUUUCGGUUUUCGUUGUUAGUAUAAAGAUAAUCUCUUAAAUUGUGUUC